rnacentral:RNase_P_RNA from 1 species
CAGACCGAACGACCGCGGGCACAAGGCGAAAGCCUGUGAAUGAGGAAAGUCCGGGCUCCAUAGGGCAAGGGUAACGGGUAACGCCCGCCAGGGGUGACCCUCGGACAAGUGCAACAGAAAUAUACCGCCUGUCACAACCGUGACGGGUAAGGGUGGAAAGGUGGGGUAAGAGCCCACCCGCCGCAUGGAGACAUGUUGGCGCUGUAAACUCUACCCGGAGCAACGCCGUGGGAGAGCAUAUAGAUCGGCCCGAUCGCUCUCAGGAGGCGGCUUGAGCCUGGCGGCAACGACAGGCCUAGAUAGAUGGUCGUUUAAGACAGAACCCGGCUUACAGAUCUGCUCAU